UCCAUCGUGGUGCAGUGGUAGCACGCCAGGCCUCACAUGCAGCACCGCCGCAUGACUUACGAGCAUGCCACAUUGAGUGUCCGGGGCAACCCGAGCGGGCUGGGGGGCCCAGGGCGCAAGCUCGAAGCUCCGAAUGGAGUAUCCCAUCCUUUCCAAUGUGCGUUGCGUGUGCGCGAGGAGACUGUCUGGAGGCUCGAGUUCGAUUCUCGACGAUGGAA